UCGGCCCAGGGCUGCCUCAGUAGCGGCGAGUGAAGCGGCAAGAGCUCAGAUUUGAAAUCGUGCUUUGCGGCACGAGUUGUAGAUUGCAGGUUGGAGUCUGUGUGGAAGGCGGUGUCCAAGUCCCUUGGAACAGGGCGCCCAGGAGGGUGAGAGCCCCGUGGGAUGCCGGCGGAAGCAGUGAGGCCCUUCUGACGAGUCGAGUUGUUUGGGAAU
rnacentral:rRNA from 1 species